rfam:Solanum lycopersicum cultivar Heinz 1706 chromosome 3, whole genome shotgun sequence.
UGAGAUCGUUAUGAGGAUAUCUAAGCUCCCUCUACUGAUAUCGGUGAGGAAAAUUGCUGGCAGAAUCGAACCAAUAAAUUAAUUUGCCAUUACUGAAUGA